AGAGCAGCAACUUGGCUGUUUUCUAUUCAUAGAUAGAUUAAUGUGAUAAAGGUUUGUAAUAUAACCUUGGACAAGGAGAGAAAGAGUGCACCUUAGCAACAUAAAGUAAGGGUUAUUAUUUUACAGGAAAUAGGAUACAAAUCACAUUAACGGGCAGGAAGGAAAUCAAUCCUCAUAGUGACAAGGUGUGUUUAUUCUUAGAUACUUUAGGGAAAACAAUCACCAUCCACAGGACCAGAGCUCUCCCCACACCCCACUCCACCCCUCUCUCAAUUCCUCAGAACUUUUCCAUCUGCAGAGUUUUUUCCAGAAGAGAAAGCCAUUGACUUUCAGUGGAUGCCUUGAGGCUUCAGGAUUCGUAAAGAACUAGUUGUAAAGUGAUUUUCAUUGGUCCACAGAGAAGCAGGGCACUAAAAGAGAGAGGGCAGGAAGUGGACACUUCUGAAGGCAUAAGAAGGGCUUAGGUAAUGGGAGCAAUUUCACCAAAAUUGAACAUCAUUCAUAUUUCAUCUGCUAGUUCAGGUUGGAUUUGCUGCCCAAACAUUUGGAUCUGGUGACUGUGGAUCAGGAGCAAGGUGGGGGAGAGAGCUCUUUGAUUAUCUUUCUUUAUUGCUUUUACCUGUUCUUGAAGCUAAAUUGCUAAUUGUUUUUCAGGAAAGUUAUCCAUUUCAUCUACAUAUUCAAAUUUGCUCACAUAAAUGUAUAGUUAGUAUUCAUUUGAAAUUGUUAAAUUUCUUCAUUAUCUGAGUAAAAACUUCCUCAUUACUAAUAUUGCAUAUUUGUGUUGUCUAUAUGGUCUUUUCAAAGAAAUAGCUCUGAAGGCAAUAUUUUUGCUAUUUCAUUAAUUUCUGCUCUUAUCUUCAUUAAUUCCUUGAUUCUUAUUUCUUUAGUAUUGCCACUUAUCUGUCUUCUGAGGUGAAAUGUAAAGCUCAUAUAUUUUGAAUUGAUUGGGUUUUUUGCUUUUGUGGGGGACUGGCAUUGGCCACCCCAAGAUAUGUCUCUUUGGCAUGAGGAUUAUUUGGGGCUGGUUACUUUUAAUAAACUGCAGACAGGAAAGGAACUCUGAGAAGCA
rnacentral:lncRNA from 1 species